GACGAACGCUGGCGGCGUGCUUAACACAUGCAAGUCGAACGGAAAGGCCUGCUUUCCCUUGUGGAUUGCGGGUACUCGAGUGGCGAACGGGUGAGUAACACGCGAGUGAUCUGCCCCCAACUUGGGUAUAAGCCUGGGAAACUGGGUCUAAUUCCCGAUAGGACUGCAGGGUGGUGCCUGUGGUGGAAAACGAUUUUCUAGUGGUUGGGGAUGAGGUCGCGGCCUAUUAGCUUGUUGGAGGGGUAAUGGCCUACCAAGGCGGCGACGGGGAGCCGGCCGGAGAGGGGGGACGGCGACAUUGAGACUGGGAUACGGCCCAGACGCCUACGAGCGGCGGCAGUGGGGGAUCUAGCAGAAUAGGCGGAAGCCUGAAGCAGCGACGCCGCGUGGAAGAUGACGGCCUUCGGGAUGUAAACUCCUUUCGACCGCGAGGAAGCCACCUGGUUGGAAGGGUGGUGACGGUAGUGGUAGAAGAAGCACCGGCUAACUACGUG
rnacentral:rRNA from 1 species